rnacentral:rRNA from 1 species
GACAGAGGGUGCAAACGUUGUUCGGAAUUACUGGGCGUAAAGCGUGUGUAGGCGGCUUGCCAAGUCGGAUGUGAAAGCCCCGGGCUCAACCUGGGAAGUGCACUCGAUACUGGCGAGCUAGAGUAUCGGAGAGGUUGGUGGAAUUCUCGGUGGAGAGGUGAAAUUCGUAGAUAUCGAGGGGAACACCAGUGGCGAAGGCGGCCAACUGGACGAAUACUGACGCUGAGACACGAAAGCGUGGGGAGCGAACAGG